ACACUUCUUUUGUGGUUCGUGCUUCCGCUUUAUACCAUGCUUGCCUACAUCCGUAGUGUCACUCCUUUAUUCUCUUGAUGUGCUUUUCCUUUACAAGGAAGAAUACACACCAUGAGGAAAAGAGAAGUAAAAUUGUAGCAUAUGGCAACUUUAUAAAUACUAACAUGUUUCUGAUUCAUCAUGAGGUCAUGUACUGAUGGAUUGCAAAAAGAAAAAGAAAAAUAAUGUCAAUUGUUUCUAUAUCACUUUAAUUGGCAUGGUCCAUCUGUAGUGUCGUUCAAUUAUUAGACCACAUUCAAUAUUAUUUUUUGGAUGCCUGCAACUUCCAACUAAAUAGAUCGCCGUAUCUAUGUCUGAUUUGUAUUUGUAGUCUACAAACAAGACAUCCUAAUUAUUUGUUCGAACAUACUACAGUCUUGUUUUCUCUGCCGUGUCUUCUCCUUUUCUUAAUAGUGUCACUGCCUUUGAUUUAUCUGCUCAGAUGUGCUAUUUAGAGUUUGAUCUGGAUAUAUACUAGCUAUUUUAUUAGGAGUUGGUGGUAAAGAUGAACUAAUGGUUGAUCCGCCCUGCUGUCCAUGCUGCACUUCAUGCAAAAUCAUUGGGUAUUGAUAUAGUAAUAUUUUUUUACUUGGUUAAUGGCCAAACAUACUGCUUCAGUAUCUUCCGGUAGGUGCCUCAGAAUUAUGCAGUUGAUCAUACCAUACUGCUACUUGAAUAAAAAUUUCUAUCUUUGUGUUCUACACUGAAGCUAUCAUAUGAAGUUUAAUUAUUUUCAGCGUCCAUCACCAAAACUACUUUGUUUGUAGUGAAAGGCUUCAUAGAAUUUCAUAGAUGUUGCACAUAUUGAGAUUAACCUGUAGAUGUAUUCAUAACCAUAUAGUAGAGGGGAAGAUGCAAACACGACAUGUCUUGGCCUCUCAACCUUUUCUGUUAUAUGUCACGUUUCUAUUAAUUAUUUUGCUUGACAUGAUUCUUUCAAUGGUAACUUUGAUUUUCUCUAACAGGUAGGAACAAAAGUAUUUUAAUGAGCCUAAAAAAUCGUAACACAUGUAGCUCUUGCUACAGUUGUAAGUUGUGAUCCUAAAUUUGAACUUGAUGGUGCUGAAAUUACUAAUGAAUUCUGGGUAGUGCAUGUUGAUAUGGCACUUGUGAAAACUGAAGAUUGGGUACGGAGUCGCAAAAACUGCAAUACUCUUGGUAAUGCAGAUUUGUUUUUGCAUCUCAACCUUUGUAAAUUCAAAAGAUAAAUGGAUGAUUCUAUUGGUGUGUGUGGCAAGUAUACUACAAGGAUGAUGAUGAUGAUGUUCCUGUUCAUGAUGAUGAAGACGGAUGGUGUCAGUUUUAAUUAAGUUGUAGGGAUGAUGUUCCUCGAUUGUGUUUUAGUUACGUUGUAGGGAUGUUUAUGGAUGCUUUUAAUUUAAGUUUCGCCGUCAAGAAACAUUUAGAUUAUACUUCCCAUUUGGAUGAUUUUUCUUGUGUAAUAUGCACUAUUGUAAUCCAACAGUUUUAUUUAAUAUAUGAUUUCUUCCUCCCGUGAGUA